UGGGGAAUAUUGCGCAAUGGGGGGAACCCUGACGCAGCCAUGCCGCGUGAAUGAAGAAGGCCUUAGGGUUGUAAAGUUCUUUCGGUAUUGAGAAAGGUUGAUGUGUUAAUAGCACAUCAAAUUGACGUUAAAUACAGAAGAAGCACCGGCUAACUCCGUGCCAGCAGCCGCGGUAAUACGGAGGGUGCGAGCGUUAAUCGGAAUAACUGGGCGUAAAGGGCACGCAGGCGGUUAUUUAAGUGAGGUGUGAAAGCCCCGGGCUUAACCUGGGAAUUGCAUUUCAGACUGGGUAACUAGAGUACUUUAGGGAGGGGUAGAAUUCCACGUGUAGCGGUGAAAUGCGUAGAGAUGUGGAGGAAUACCGAAGGCGAAGGCAGCCCCUUGGGAAUGUACUGACGCUCAUGUGCGAAAGCGUGGGGAGCAAACAGGAUUAGAUACCCUGGUAGUCCACGCUGUAAACGCUGUCGAUUUGGGGGUUGGGGUUUAACUCUGGCGCCCGUAGCUAACGUGAUAAAUCGACCGCCUGGGGAGUACGGCCGCAAGGUUA
rnacentral:rRNA from 1 species